GGAGAGAUGCCGGAGCGGUUGAACGGGCGCGCCUGGAGAGCGCGUAGGCUCUUAACCGAGUCUCCAGGGUUCGAAUCCCUGUCUCUCCGCCA
rnacentral:tRNA from 2 species